UGAAAUCACGGAUCGCUUUCGGAUUUUGUCAGUCGGCAUCGUCGAAAUAAUCGGCGGGACUGUUGAUGUGGUUUGCUAACCUCACUUUCAAUUUUCAACUUUGAGCUUUGAGUUUUUGAAACGUUUUGUUGUUUAUUUACAAUUUGUGCGACCAAGAGUAAUUAUUAUUAAUUACAUUAUCUUGUUUCCUUGUAAAUUCAAAACACCACUAUAUAUUUACAUUAAUUUACUACACCUUUAUUCGGUGAACAUGGAUAUAAACAGGGAUAAUAAAUUAAUAUGUGAAGAUUGUGGAAAGUCAUUUUCUUCUACUUCAACAUUGUAUCGGCAUAUGAGGGAUAUACAUAAUAAAAAACAGAGUGAAAAAGAGAGCCAACACAUUAUUUGCCCCCUUUGCCUGGACAAAGAGAAGUUUACAUCCUAUGAUUCUUUAAUAAGACACUUUCAUAGUAUUCAUAAUAUACAUAUUAAAGAAUCUCUUUUAAAUUUUAGGAAUUUGGCAGAGUUUGAAAUUUGGAGGUCUGCAGAAAACAGAGAGGUAGAUUAUGCUGUUCAUCGAAGAAAGAAAUGUGCUAAUGGGGAAGAAUUUAUUUACUAUAAUUGUAAUAGAAGUGAUUCAAAAGGAUAUGUCAGUACAUGUUUGCAAUGGAAUUUAAAGUCUAAAGGAAGCAUUCGUAUGCAAGGAAUUUGUCCAUCAAGAAUAAUAGUUAAAAUUCUAGUAGAUGGAGUGAGAUUUAAGAUUUUUUGAAACCCACAUAGGACACCCUGAUGAAUUAAGAAGCAAAAGGCUAACAAAAUCGGAACAGGAGAUAAUUGUGGAUAAAUUAGCAGCAGGAGUUUCAAACAAGAGAAUUAUUCAGGAGGCCAGAAGCGUAGACGGCAAUAAACUACAAAGGAAAAAUUGUAUAACAUGAGGAGAUUUAGAGUACCUAAUACGAAAAUUUAAUAUUGACAAGAAAAGGGACAGUGAUGAUAUGAUAGCCACAGUGUUAAAAAUUCAGGAAUGGAACAGUGAUGGAAAAAAUCAUGGAUUUUUAUUUAAACAGAUAGGAGAAACUUAUCCAGGAUUAGAAGAAGAGAUUUUCCAAAAAUAAUCUGUAUAGAUGGAACUCAUGGAACAAAUAGGAGAAACUGGGACUUGACAAUUGUGUUAAUAAGAGAUGAACAAAAUAUGGGUUUUCCAGUGGCAUUCUUACUAAGUAACAGAUUAGAUCAAUUAAUUCAAGAGGUUUUUUUUAGAACAUAAACCAAGAAGAUUACUUUGUACCUGGCAUAUAGUGAAAAAUUGGAACAUACAAGGAAGGUCUAAAAUCAAGAAGUUGGAAAAUAGACAGAUAAUGAAACAUGAAAUGAGGAAAAUUUUAAAGAAGACUGAUCCACAAAAAUUUAUACAGCUGAAAGAGAACUAUUUUAGGCAAUUAGAAGAAGAGGAGGAAACUAAUUUUCAGAAUUACCUGAAAAAGUACUUCACUAAAAAAGUCAACACUAAAAAAUUAUAAAACAAAUGUAAUUAAUUCUUUACUAUUUCCAAAGUCAAGAGAGAAUAAUGAUGUGGGCACAUUGUUAUAGAAUCAAUGCCGGAAUUAAUACAAAUAUGGUAAUUGAAAGCUUAAAUAAAGUUCUGAAGUACAACAAAAUGAAUGGAAAGCAGAAUAUUAGGAUUGAAAAACUGUUGGAUUUACUGGAUGAACUUGUUGAUGAAAGAAUGUGGAAAAGGAUUAUAAACAUGGAAAGGCCAAAUGCAAAUAAUUAUCAGCCAAAAAAAAAGUGAGAGUGCUCAUAAAAAAGCAGAAGAAAUGGUGGGUAAUAACGGCAAUGUAUCAUAUUCUGAAUUAGGACAUUUUAAGGUAAGGUCGUUUAGUGAUAAUCAUAAAUUGUAUUUUGUAAAUUAUAAUGAGGCUUGUGAUGAGGACUGUAGGGCAAUGUAUUGUGAGAAGUGUAAGAUAUGUAAACAUAAAUAUAAUUGUGAUUGUCCAGAAUAUACUGUUAAAAGUGUCAUGUGUAAGCAUAUACAUGCUGUAGCUUUAUUUGAGCAGAGGAGCGAAUAUGUUUCAGGUUUCAUGGAUGAAAUGCAAGAAGAUAAUAAUCUGUAUGUCAAUGAACCUUCAACAAGCAAGACAGUUUAUGAGGAUGAAGUAAAUCAUUUUCUUGAUGAGACUGAAAAUAGAAUGAAUGUGACAAUUGAUUUUAAAAGAAAGCGUGAGAUUUGUCUAGAACAGUUUUGCUCUGAAAUUCGUAAUUAUGGUGGUGGAUUGGGUGAACAUGAUUUAGAAAAAUUUAUGGGUGAUUUUAGAAAUUUUAUGCAGACAGUAAAACAAAAAGAAAUGGUGAUGAGUAAAAAAAGAAAAAUAGAAAAGCAGCAGUAUUAUCUCAACAAAAAACCUAAACAAAUUUAUUUAUAAUAAAAUGUUUAUAACUAUUUCAUUACUGAUUGACAUUGCUUUUGUGAGUGACCUAUUCUGGUAUUAUAUCUAAGUGGUGUUGGCUAUUUGUAUUCAUGUAAUUCGUUGGCUUAUGGUGAAGGAUACUUAUAAAAUAUAUUUUUUCAAUUUUAA
rnacentral:lncRNA from 1 species